AGCGGCGGAUCCAAGAGUUUUUUUUUUAAAGGAGGGGCAUGAAGUGUUAAAUCGGCGUGGGGUCCGGGGCCAAAGGGUACUUUAUGGUACAUUCUGAGGCAUUUCUGAAUGCGUAAACUGAACAUUUAUUUGAAAAUUCUUGGCUUUUUUCGGAAGGAAAAGGGGGCAUGAACCCCAACGCUCCCCUUGGGUCCGGCCUAGCUGGCAGGGCUAGCUAGCUCUCUGCAGUACGCCCAGGACUGGCGUCGACCGCCGGCGUCGCCGCUAGACCCGCCUGCGCCAGAGCUCGCAUACCGUAUACCUGCGGCUAGCAUCAGCUACAGUUUCAGCUGGUCGGCGCAGCUAGCCUUGCCCUGCUGGUGGUUCCUUAAUUGUCUUCACUCCAAAAAUAUCUACAAUGUAUACCAAAACCUAACAUGCUUGAAGAUGUAGAAGAUCCUCGCUAUCCAUCCACCUUCGCAGCUUCUUUUGCCUCACAAUUACCUCUGUCACAAGUCCCAUUAAACACCGUGCCCGAUUCUGGUGCAGCUGACAGCACUGGGGACACUUCGCCUCAAUUGAAGCUGUUAUUCAACCCUUAGACACAACCACUUGCCUCCUAAUUACCUGCUAUGAAAGAAAUUACAUAUUGUGAGCUACUAGCAAAGGAACAACUUCAACACUGCAUCAAAUGGCUCGACCAAAGUUAUCAGUGGAACAAUAUUCACCUGGUUUCCCCAAAACAAAACAGCACAUCCCAAAGAAUGGUGAACUCCAGUUGAAAAGACAUGCGAUUCUGAAAUAACCAUGGUCAUUUCAGACAUCUUGCGGGAGAAUUAACAGGGGCAAGAACAGUCAGUGAUUUAGAUACAUUUUACCAUCAGGAGCAUUCACUGCAUUGCACAGUAUGUAACUGAAUAGUUGGAGAGAAACUGGACUCUGUGCAACUAUACUAGACAUGACAAGUACAGAAGUACUAGCUAGUAAUGGACAAGGAAUUUUACUCACGUGAGCAGUUCAAAAC